CCAGACUCCUACGGGAGGCAGCAGUGAGGAAUAUUGGUCAAUGGGCGGAAGCCUGAACCAGCCAAGUCGCGUGAGGGAAUAAGGCCCUACGGGUCGUAAACCUCUUUUGCCGGGGAGCAAGGGCGGGGACGUGUCCCGGCCCGGAGAGUACCCGGAGAAAAAGCAUCGGCUAACUCCGUGCCAGCAGCCGCGGUAAUACGGAGGAUGCGAGCGUUAUCCGGAUUUACUGGGUGUAAAGGGAGCGUAGACGGCAUAGCAAGUCUGAAGUGAAAGCCCGUGGCUCAACCGCGGAACUGCUUUGGAAACUGUUAAGCUCGAGUACUGGAGAGGCAAGCGGAAUUCCUAGUGUAGCGGUGAAAUGCGUAGAUAUUAGGAGGAACACCAGUGGCGAAGGCGGCUUGCUGGACAGCAACUGACGCUGAGGCGCGAAAGCGUGGGGAGCAAACAGGAUUAGAUACCCCGGUA
rnacentral:rRNA from 1 species